rnacentral:rRNA from 1 species
CCUACGGGAGGCAGCAGUGGGGAAUAUUGGGCAAUGGGCGCAAGCCUGACCCAGCAACGCCGCGUGAAGGAAGAAGGCUUUCGGGUUGUAAACUUCUUUCGUCAGGGAAGAGUAGAAGACGGUACCUGACGAAUAAGCCACGGCUAACUACGUGCCAGCAGCCGCGGUAAUACGUAGGUGGCAAGCGUUUUCCGGAUUUACUGGGUGUAAAGGGCGUGUAGCCGGGUUGACAAGUCAGAUGUGAAAUCCUGCGGCUUAACCGAAGAACUGCAUUUGAAACUGUUGAGCUUGAGUACUGGAGAGGCAGACGGAAUUCCUAGUGUAGCGGUGAAAUGCGUAGAUAUUAGGAGGAACACCAGUGGCGAAGGCGGUCUGCUGGACAGCAACUGACGGUGAGGCGCGAAAGCGUGGGGAGCAAACAGGAUUAGAUACCCCUGUAGUC